rnacentral:rRNA from 1 species
GUAAGACUGGGAUAACUCCGGGAAACCGGGGCUAAUACCGGAUGGUUGUUUGAACCGCAUGGUUCAGACAUAAAAGGUGGCUUCGGCUACCACUUACAGAUGGACCCGCGGCGCAUUAGCUAGUUGGUGAGGUAACGGCUCACCAAGGCAACGAUGCGUAGCCGACCUGAGAGGGUGAUCGGCCACACUGGGACUGAGACACGGCCCAGACUCCUACGGGAGGCAGCAGUAGGGAAUCUUCCGCAAUGGACGAAAGUCUGACGGAGCAACGCCGCGUGAGUGAUGAAGGUUUUCGGAUCGUAAAGCUCUGUUGUUAGGGAAGAACAAGUACCGUUCGAAUAGG